rnacentral:rRNA from 1 species
CCUACGGGUGGCAGCAGUGAGGAAUAUUGGUCAAUGGACGAGAGUCUGAACCAGCCAAGUAGCGUGAAGGAUGACUGCCCUAUGGGUUGUAAACUUCUUUUAUAUGGGAAUAAAAUGUUCCACGUGUGGGAUUUUGUAUGUACCAUAUGAAUAAGGAUCGGCUUACUCCGUGCCAGCAGCCGCGGUAAUACGGAGGAUCCGAGCGUUAUCCGGAUUUAUUGGGUUUAAAGGGAGCGUAGGUGGAUUGUUAAGUCAGUUGUGAAAGUUUGCGGCUCAACCGUAAAAUUGCAGUUGAAACUGGCAGUCUUGAGUACAGUAGAGGUGGGCGGAAUUCGUGGUGUAGCGGUGAAAUGCUUAGAUAUCACGAAGAACUCCGAUGGCGAAGGCAGUUCACUGGACUGCAACUGACACUGAGGCUCGAAAGUGUGGGUAUCAAACAGGAUUAGAUACCCUAGUAGUC